UACGUAGGGCGCAAGCGUUGUCCGGAAUUAUUGGGCGUAAAGAGCUCGUAGGUGGCUGGUCGCGUCUGCCGUGAAAGCCCGUGGCUUAACUACGGGUCUGCGGUGGAUACGGGCCGGCUUGAGGUAGGUAGGGGCAAGCGGAAUUCCUGGUGUAGCGGUGAAAUGCGCAGAUAUCAGGAGGAACACCGGUGGCGAAGGCGGAUCUCUGGGCCAUUACUGACGCUGAGGAGCGAAAGCGUGGGGAGCGAACAGG
rnacentral:rRNA from 1 species